UACGUAGGGUGCGAGCGUUGUCCGGAAUUACUGGGUGUAAAGGGUCCGCAGGCGGGCAGACAAGUCGGUGGUGAAAUCUCACGGCUCAACCGUGAAACUGCCUUCGAUACUGUCUGUCUUGAGUUCGAGAGAGGAUGAUGGAAUUCAUGGUGUAGCGGUGAAAUGCGUAGAGAUCAUGAAGAACACCAGUAGCGAAGGCGGUCAUCUGGCUCGAUACUGACGCUCAGGGACGAAAGCGUGGGGAG
rnacentral:rRNA from 1 species